AGCUUUGGGGCUCUGAGGGUGUGACCUUGCCAGGCCAGCCUUGUUUUACAGGGAAUGAUGGUGACCUCGUGGUUCUGUUGCUCUGAACUCUGCAUACACUGCAGAACAGAAGGAAAUGAACAGAAAUCACAGCAUCAAUAAAGACAAACUUUGCAUAGCUUUCUGGAAUGUUCAGCAGCAGCCUCCAUAGCUGAUCUUAAGACAUUCAAUGUGUGUAUGCUCUUCAAAUGACAUGGCUCUUGGUGGUUAGAGAGGGGUGUUGUCCAGCUCUGUCUAUUCUCGUGCUAUUUCCCAGACGAGCUGCAGCAGAGACCGUCUUGGGUUGGGGAGAUGAGACCCGAGUUUAGGUACCACCCAAACAUACAGAACAAAGGAAGGCCAUAGCCUAGCAUAACUGUAACCCUAAUACUGGAGCUGCAGACUGAGGCAGCCUAGCCUAAACAGUGACAUUUUGGGCUCUGUGAGAUCCUGUCUCAAGAUGAACAGUCGAGGAAGAUGCCCAGUGUCAUCGUCUGGCCUCCACACGCAGUAGAAAUAGUCUUGUGGCCACAAGCAGCUAUCAGUCGAAUGGGUGGUGUUCACGGAGCAGGGUGCUCACCUCUGUCUAGGAGCUAAUGUCACGUGUUCUGGAUGCUGGGAUGUGUGGUCGGUCCCUGGAGACAUGGAUGUGCCAACUGGGCUGUGGGCUGGGUCCUAACUAGUCGGAGAUAAAUGAGAGAAGUCUGAGGGCCCAGGAAUACAGCUUUGCUGAGCCAGUGCUGCAUUCGCUCAGUCCUCUGGUCAUGCGUAGCCUGCGAGCCAGGUAGAGCCCAUGCUUGCAAAGCACCAGUCCUCACAGGGCCGUCAUGGCCGGAUGGUCAGUGCAAGGAGCUGAGAGACUCGAGGGGUAUCUGAAGUCCCUGGUGUCUGCCUUGUAGGCUCUGAGACAGCCACACAGACAGUGAUGGGGAGUCCUUGUGUCAAAGGAGAGAUGGUGGCCUUCAUGGUGGGGUUAUUCCUAAGGUCCUGGUGAGUCACAGAGCCAAACAGCAUAGUGAGCAGCAGGCAGGCCCACCCCAACAAUCCCAGUCCUGUCUCCACUUUUCUCAAGCCCCAGUGUUCAUGAUUGUCCUAUGCCACAGUGACAUCUGUGCAUGUCCCAGGGUCCACUUACUUGUGUGAGUGUAGCCAGUGGAAGCACUAAGGGUGGGGUAGAGGAGGGUGUUGGGCCUCCAUGUCCUACCAUCUGGCUCUGGCUUUCCUGGCCCUGGGGCCUGCAGUGGCUCCUGGUCCCUUAGGCAUAGCUUCGGAGCCUGUUAAUUGGUCCCACUUUCAGGGGCCUUAAUGCCUGUAGGUUGGGUACAUAGCAUUAUGCUUACAGGACCCUGCUAGCUAGUAGGCUAGUCCACAUGCCUACACUUCAUGUGGUUCCAGAAAUUUCUUCCAUAUUAGGGUGUGUGGAGUCCCAUUUUUAUUGGGACUACACUUUUAUUUAAGGGGAUUUGUGUCUUACCUGGUUUUAGGCCAGUCUGACCUGGGCAGUUCAUGCUAUGAUUUCAGCUUGUGUCAGGAUGCCUCCACCUCCAGCAGCAGCUCCCCACUUCCACUGGGAUGCCCAGUUGCCAGGGUCGUUCCCAAAAGGCUGCCCACCAGUCUCUGAUAAGACACCAAGGCAAUUUAUAUGAGAGAGAUUGACUGGCCUUGCAGUUCCAGAGGGUUGGGGGCCAUGCUGGUGGAAGGGAGGCUGGAGCCCCAGUUGAGAGCUCCCAUCUUCCACAAGCAGGAGGCAGGCCGGACACACUGGCAAUGACACAUCAACAAGGCCCUAAGUCCUAAUCCUUCUAAACAUCUCCAACACUGGGGACCGUUCCCAUCCAGAUCAGUGCACACAGCUCUCUCCUUUGUCAGUUUAGUUAGUUUGGCCCCUGUACUCCCCUAAACCCCCUGCCUCAUUAAACUUGUAUCUUCAUUCCUC
rnacentral:lncRNA from 1 species